UAUUACAACAUCGAUGAGGGAUUAAGCUUGAAGAUAGAUAUCACACAAUUUAAGUAGAUUAAUUUACAUCCCAUGGGCACUAGCGGAAACAAGACUAAAAUACAACUAUUCUCCCAAAAUAUAUUUGGGUUUAAUUGCUAAGCAAAACAUAAUAAGUUUAUAGCCCAAAAGACGUGCGACGGACAUGUUCAACAAAAGAGGUACAUAUAUGAGGCCUUUUACAUAUU
rnacentral:lncRNA from 1 species